CUCUGGAGCGCAGACGUGCGCUCUGCGCCUUGCGGACGCCGCCGCAAAUCCUCCCCGAGCCCCGCUGCUCCCCGCGGGCGGGUGGGGCUGCGCCUGGAGCUCGGGGACCCCUGACAGCUUGCGCUCGCUGCCUCCGGCCCCCCUUUCUGCCGGUAACCAGAGGAUAGAAAAUGCCACCUGCAAAGUCCCCUCGAAUGCUCUUUGGAGUUCAUCGCCCGGAACUUAAACCUCGGCCACAGUGGAGCGCAAACGGCGGAGGAGAGUGUGAGGUUCAGAGUGACCCCAGCGUGUCCCACCCCUGGGGCGGAAGAAAGCGGCCUGAGCGGCAUUCCACCUCCACCGAGGGUUCCAGGGUUUCAAGCCGCCUGGAGCCCAAUAUCUGGGGCCUGGACAUGGCCCUGACUUCCUGUUCCCUACAGACCAUCCCACCCACGCAUGGUUGACACCCAGCUCUACCGGGAAGGCCUCUCCACCUGCCCUUCAUGCAGAAGGGGUGACCACAAAGCCACAGGCUGCAACUUCUUAAAGGACAGAGUGGCCUCCACAAAUGAGGUGAUCCUACAGCAGAGUUACCCAGUGAUGCAGGAAAGCCGGUCCUGGAUGAAAGGCAAAACAAGCCGUGAAUUUAGAGCAAAGAAAAAGACUUAAACGGCACCGAGUACACUGGUACAUAGUAUCUAAGAGGUGGUCGAUUUACUGGAAAUAGAAACAGCUUCAAAGCAGACUUUGAACACAUGGUGGGGCAAGUGUGUCUCACGGAGGCCUCUGGGAGGUCGGAAUCUUUCGUCUCUUUCUGGCUUCUGAGGUUGGUUUCAGAGUCAAAAGCUGGCGGUCGGACCCAAACAGCUCUUCACCGCACCCUCCCAGACUCUAGGAUAAACUUGGGGACCUCUAUGAGCCUGAUGAAAGUAUACAUACAAAUGGUCUCCUAGGAGCUUUUUUCUGGGGAGAAGGUCUGUGAUUUUUCAACAGAUUUUCAAAAAGAUUUAAAAUCUGGGACUGCCCUAGCAGUCCAGUGGUUAAGAAUCCAGGCUUCCCCUGCAGGGGGCACAGGUUCAAUCCCUGGUUGGGGAACCUAAGAUCCCACAUGCCAAAAAAAAAAAAAGGAUUUAAAAAUCUGAAAAAGGUUAGAAACCAUUGAGUAGUGAAGCUGUAGGGCAGGUUUUAUUAAUAAACUUUUCAUAACUAGCUUGUAUGGAUUCUGU
rnacentral:lncRNA from 1 species